UUUCGUGGGAACUCAUGGAUUUGUUAUUGCAAAGAUAGCGAGUUCGUAUUGGUCGAAAGAAAAAAUCAUGGUUUUUGUAGGAUGUCCUGAGUAUGAUUUUCUAGCUAACCCGAUUGGUAGAGAAAUGUUUCGAAUGAUCAUUAUUGGACAAAGUAGGUGAUGGCUGUUAGAAUGGGAGGUAACUUCUUUUUUUUUUAAAGGGGGAACCCAAGUUUGAGGAGAUCGAGUAGGCAGUUCCAUCUGGGCCAUCAUCAAGUUAAGUUCUGUUGAAUCCGUCACCAAGUACAGUUCCAUUUGAGAGUUCUGUCAGGUCUUUCAUCAAGAAGUUUAUUUUUAAGUUGAGUUAGCCUGGGAGGGUCCGUUGCUUGCAGCGGUACCUGAAGGGUUGAGUUAAAAGUUUAGUUUGAAGUUGCAGACAGUUUAAAGUGACGUUAAAAUUCAGUUACCAGUUCUUCGCGGCUAAGAAAUCAGCGCGGCAAUGCAGUGUGGUGGAUAAAUGGAACUCCGGCAAUUUUCGUUGCUGUCAAACGAAUUGUCGAUAAUUUAUAAAUAGCAUUUUUGGUAUUCUUUUUUUUAUGCAGUCAGAUCCAGGAAUUAUGCAGAAUAAGUUUUCUUUUUUCUGUUAGUAGUUUCAACCCCCUAGGAUUCCUAAGGUUGCUAGUAAAUUUUGAUCCCAUUUAAUGAACUUUUAAUAUUUUUGUUCGAGUAGUAGUAAAUUUUGAUCCCGUUUAAUGAACUUUAAAAUAUUUUUGUUCGAGUACAAAGCUGAAUUUUUCUAUGAUAAUUUUUUUUAUAAACUACGGAUACUCUUAUGUACCUGUAAAUAUUGUGAAGUGACUUUCGCGUAGUGAAAUAGCGUCUGGGACUUACAAACCAACCAACAACCAGAAGAAACCAGGACAAUGAUUGUAAAGGUAUCAUUUUUAUGUUUGUAGAACCUUUUGUUUCAUUUUUUUUUUUAUUUGGUAAUCUGGAUCUCAAUCUGUAACACCGAGAGAUCAGAAAUUCAUUUUCUUUGCUAUUUUUUAAUAAAUAAUGUUUUGAUUUGCAAAAUACAAAUCUUAUUAUUUCCUUUCCUUUUCUCUUGCAUCAUAAGAACAAUAAAGAAUUGGCUGAGUAUAGAAUAUUGAGUAUAGAGUAAAUAAGUUACAGAAAACAAGAGACAUCCUUGCCAGAAAUCAAAUGUAGAGGAUGUACAGAGGUAGACACAAAGUGAUCAACCAUCUGAACAGGUAAUAGCCAGGUGGCUGGAAAAACCGGUAAGGAAAAUAUGUACAAAACCAAAACAAGUAUCUACAGAAAAAUAUGUCCAGAAGUCCACUACAUGAUGAAUCAAGUAUCCAACAAGAAAGAAGUCCUUCCUUUGAAUAAGAAAAGAAAUAUGGUAAAAAAUAAAAUGUACAUAUGAUUUAAUGCAAUAAAUGUUUUCAUUUUUA